rnacentral:rRNA from 1 species
AUUGAACGCUGGCGGCAGGCCUAACACAUGCAAGUCGAACGAACCCUUCGGGGUUAGUGGCGGACGGGUGAGUAACACGUGGGAACGUGCCUUUAGGUUCGGAAUAACUCAGGGAAACUUGUGCUAAUACCGAAUGUGCCCUUCGGGGGAAAGAUUUAUCGCCUUUAGAGCGGCCCGCGUCUGAUUAGCUAGUUGGUGAGGUAAAGGCUCACCAAGGCUACGAUCAGUAGCUGGUCUGAGAGGAUGACCAGCCACAUUGGGACUGAGACACGGCCCAAACUCCUACGGGAGGCAGCAGUGGGGAAUCUUGCGCAAUGGGCGAAAGCCUGACGCAGCCAUGCCGCGUGGAUGAUGAAGGUCUUAGGAUUGUAAAAUCCUUUCACCGGUGAAGAUAAUGACUGUAGCCGGAGAAGAAGCCCCGGCUAACUUCGUGCCAGCAGCCGCGGUAAGAC